GAAAAUGAGGAAACGAAACUUUGGAAAAAUUUACUUGAUGUUGAUUCUGAUCACAAAGACUGCCUAUUAGAUUACUUAAAUUGCAAUAAAAUUAAACAGACAACUCAGAUCCUAAGAAAUAUUUCAUUCUGAAGGAAAAACUCAGUGACAUAAGAGUGUUCUCUGAACCAGCAUCGUUCAGAAGAUCAGGCCACAGAAAGGAUGGUCCCAUUCACUUUUCCUUUUUGAUUCUGUUAUAGGAACUGAACCCAGGACCCACAACACUGAGCUUCGUCUCCAGCCCUUUUUGUAUUUUUAUUUUGAGUAGACUCCAUAUGUUACUAAGUUGGUCAAGCUGGUUUCGAAUUUGAGAUCGUCCUGCAUUAGCCUCCGAGAGUGCUGGGAUUACAAGUGUCUUCUCCCACACCUGAGCUGAAGUGUGCUGCUCCUGCAUUCAGCAGAUGGACACAUGUGAUUCUCUGAACGGCUUUCAGAUGCUAAGGUACUUUACAAACAGGAUCCAUGAUGCUUCAUUCAUUAGCUUAUAUAUCUACAGAUUAUACACAGUCUGUCAGACAUUGUACUAUAUUAGACACUAUGGCAAAAUAUAAACUGACUAUAUUAAUAAAAUGAAAACUCAUUGAAUAUUACUGCUUGCUAGAAUUUUUAACAUUUUUUUGAGACAGAGUCUUGCUAUGUAGUUUAGGCUGGCCUUGAACUCACUAUGUAGUGUUGGCUGGUCUUGAACUCAUAGUGAUCCUCCUAUCUCAGUCUCCUGAGUGCUGGGACUACAGGUAUGGGCCACCAUAUCUGACAAUAAUUUUUUACCUCACUCUUUACUUUUUCUAAAAAUACUGUGAGAUCUAGAAACUUUUAUUAUUUCCAUUUCAGAGAUGAAAAGACAGAAUCACAGAGAGAUUAGGUAAUGUCCUCAAAAACACUGUUAUGUCUUGUGUCCAGGUGUCCCCCAAAGCCUCAUGCAGUCCUAGAUGGGGACUUUGCAGAGGUGGCUAAAUCUAAUGUGUGUGAUUGAUUCAUGGUGAAAUGCUAAGAUUAAGGGUGCUAGGACUAAGGGUUUGUACUUACUAAAUCAACCCACUGCUUGGUUUAGCACUGCCCUAACCUUAGUAGCCUGGAUAUAAAGGGACAGAAAGAGCCUUGUUUUCUCCCUUGCUUGCUUUUGCUGUCUUCUGCCUGUAAUGAACUGCCCCUCCUCUGUGAUGCUCUUCUG
rnacentral:lncRNA from 1 species